AGAAAAUGAUUUCUCCUCAUCUCUGUCCUAAAAGAGCAGCCCCUAAUUUUAAAAGAUUGACCGCAAGUUCUGGACUCACCCACAAGAGGGAGCAUCCUUUCCACAUCUACCUCGUCAAGACCAAGGACUUGAAAAAUGAUCGGGUCGUUUCAAUGGGGUAGAUGUAGAGACCUGACUAGGGGCCAUCGAUAUAAGACAGUCAUAAAUAAUCCAACCAGGAAUUCAGGAGAAGCUUUUUCACCCAGAGAGUGGUGAGAAUGUGGAACUCGCUCCCAUAGGGAGCGGUCGAGGAAAUGAACACGAAAUCUACUCCAUGGGUCAAGAUUCUAACUGAUAUUUUGGCACACCUUGGGUGCCAACGCAGUGUGAAGACCUCACAGCCGGUGCAGUGACUCAUGAUUCCUCAAUAUUGACCUGCUGCCUGUCUCAACCUUUGUCAGUUUUUCUAAACAGUAUACAGCGUCCCAGUGUAUUUGACUAGCAACCCAGGCAGGAAUACACAAGGAAAGAAAAAGCCAACUGCAACCCUGGUUUCUGUGUGCUAGUAUUCCAGGCCUGGUGUGUGAGGGUGCGCUGUGAAGGUCACAGCUUGCAGGUAAAAAAGUCCUCUCUCCACGACUGCUGGAGGCAAUCACAAGUCAGCAAAGCCACCGUCAAAAAGGAAACAGGACAACCCCUCUCAGCUAACCUGAAGAACCAAGAAUCUCCAAACCAACUGUUCAACUGCCAAAGUCAGUCCACCGGGAUCACCCAAAUUAACAGCCACAGCGUAUGCCUAUUUUUUCACCUUUAUUUCUGGACUCACUCCUCAUUUCUAAUCUGUGUGUAUGUAUUUUGCGUUUUAUUAUUUUUUUCUCACGUUUUAGUGACUAAUAAACUCACUCUUUCUUUGACUCAGAAAGCCUGGCUAAAAUUGGCGCCUUUUAAAACAUAAAUACAUCUGGACUAGGAAAAGGUGUCCCCAAGGGAAGGGAUCCUUUUCAAAUCGACCUUGUUGCCACCAGUCGAGGGGGUCGAAUAAAGAAGGAGAGUCCGUUCAUCCUUCCUCGC